rnacentral:rRNA from 1 species
CAAAGAUUAAGCCAUGCAUGUCUAAGUAUAAACAACUUUAUACAGUGAAACUGCGAAUGGCUCAUUAAAUCAGUUAUGAUCUACAUGACAAUACUUUACUACUUGGAUAACCGUGGUAAUUCUAGAGCUAAUACAUGCUUCAACGCACCUUUACUGGUGCGGCACUUAUUAGAUUUCAAUCAACACUUUUGAUGACUCAUAAUAAUUUAGCGGAUCGCAGCCUUGUGCAGCGACGGUUCAUUCGAUUUUCUGCCCUAUCAAGUUGAUGGUAGGAUAGAGGCCUACCAUGCUCGCAACGGGUAACGGGGAAUUAGGGUUCGAUUCCGGAGAGGGAGCCUGAGAAACGGCUACCACAUCCAAGGAAGGCAGCAGGCGCGCAAAUUACCCAAUCCCGACACGGGGAGGUAGUGACAAUAAAUAACAAUGCAGGGCCCUUUUGGUCUUGCAAUUGGAAUGAGUACAAUUUAAAUCCCUUAACGAGGAACAAUUGGAGGGCAAGUCUGGUGCCAGCAGCCGCGGUAAUUCCAGCUCCAAUAGCGUAUAUUAAAGUUGUUGCAGUUAAAACGUCCGUAGUCGAACUUACGCUUCCAGCCUUUGUGCGUCUCGGCUUCAUUGUCGAGGUCGCCAUAUGGCGGUGGCGCAAUUACCAUGAGCAAAUCAGAGUGCUCAAAGCAGGCUUUUCAGCUUGAAUGUGUUAGCAUGGGAUAAUGAAAUAAGAUCAGUUUUUAUUUUGUUGGUAAUAGGAACUUUUAAUGAUGAAUAGGAAUGGUCGGGCGCAUUUGUAUGCUAUCGUCAGAGGUGAAAUUCUUGGAUUGAUAGCAGACAAACUACUGCGAAAGCAUUUGCGAAGGACAUUUCCAUUGAUCAAGGUCUAAAGUUAGGGGAUCGAAGACGAUCAGAUACCGUCGUAGUCUUAACCAUAAACUAUGCCGACUAGGGAUUGGGCAGUGCUAGAAUUUUGGCCUGCUCAGCACCUCAGCGAAAGUAAAGUGUUUGGGUUCUGGGGGGAGUAUGAUCGCAAGGUUGAAA